CAGUGUUCCCUGCCCUCACGGGUAGAAACGCCCACCCUUGUGUAUUAUAUCUUUGUUGCUUCGGCAGGCCGCCCUCGGGCACCGGCUCCGGCUGGAUCGUGCCUGCCAAAGGAAACCCAAACUCUGAAUGUUAGUGUCGUCUGAGUACUAUCUAAUAGUUA
rnacentral:misc_RNA from 1 species